rnacentral:misc_RNA from 1 species
AAGUCGUAACAAGGUCUCCGUUGGUGAACCAGCGGAGGGAUCAUUACCGAGUGAAAACUCCCAAACCCCUGUGAACAUACCACUGUUGCUUCGGCGGAAUCGCCCUCGCCUCGCGCGGGGGCCCGCCCGAGGACCCAAAAAUUCAAUUGUAUUUGACUUCAAAACGCAUUCUGAGUGGAUUCUACGAAUCAAAUCAAAACCUUCAACAACGGAUCUCUUGGCUCUG